rnacentral:rRNA from 1 species
GACGAACGCUGGCGGCGUGCUUAACACAUGCAAGUCGAACGAUGAAGCGGUGCUUGCACCGUGGAUUAGUGGCGAACGGGUGAGUAAUACGUGAGUGACCUACCUUUUACUCUGUGAUAAGCCUGGGAAACUGGGUCUAAUACCGGAUACGACCAAUCUCUUCAUGGGGUGUUGGUGGAAAGCGUUAUGGAGUGGUUUUAGAUGGGCUCACGGCCUAUCAGCUUGUUGGUGAGGUAAUGGCUUACCAAGGCGACGACUGAUAGCCGGCAUUAGAGGGUGAACGGCCACAAGAGUACUGAGGCACGGCGCAGUCGGCUAUGGGAGGCAGAAGGGGCAAGUAUUGUACAACGGGCGCAAGUGUGAGGAGGAGACGUCGCGUGAGUGAUGACGUCUUGCGGGGUGUAAACCUCUGUUAGCAUAGAAGAAGCGAUAGUGACGGUAGGUGCAGAGAAAGCGCCGGCUAACUACGUG